AAUGUCUUUGACAUUACUUCUGAUUUCAGAUUUGAAAAGCAGAGAAGUAGAGGAAGAUUUUAUAUGUUCUAACCUUUUGUCUAAGAAGUAGUUGGCAAAGUGGUCAAAGUAGCUGAUUUGUGUUAAAAUUUGCAAUCAUUGCAUUUACAGUGAAUGGAAUGUUGAAAGUGAUGUCACAAUGGGGCCUUUAGAAUGAAAGUGGAUGGAGGACAAAAAGUGUAAUAGUUUAAAAAGUAAAAAGAUAUCUAAAAAUGUUCUACAAGCACACUAUUCCAGACCGAUCUGCAUGUUUUGACAUUUGAAUGACGUUUCUAGCUUAAACAGUGUAGGAGGAAUCGCGUUCCAAAGAAAAAUAAGAAGUAUGUCGAAGAUUUAAAAUGGGGGUCUUGCGUCACAAACCCCACUAAUAAUACAGUGUAACUACAGUAUAAUAAGUCAGAAGUUUGUCAAAGAUUUAAAGUUGGCACUUUUGCUUUCGCAAGCCCCAUUUAAUUAAUGAAUAUAAGACAUCACAAGAAAUACAGUUAACUUAUAUGCAACUUAUAUGCAACGUACAGUAUAUCACAGGACAUACUUAACAAGACAUAACUCUAACUCCUGUCUUUUUUUUGUUGCAGAGCCCAAUGAAGAGGUUUCAUCUUCACUGUGAAUGGGGCUUACAGAAGGUUCAGCACAACGUUUGUGGCAUAAUCUUCUAAAAACAUGUACAUUUUCGAAAAUGUAAUUUUGUCAAUAAAAUCUUGGUUCACUUUU